rnacentral:rRNA from 1 species
UACGAAGGGUGCUAGCGUUGUUCGUAAUCACUGGGCGUAAAGCGCGCGUAGGCGGCUUUUUAAGUCAGGGGUGAAAUGCCACGGCUCAACCGUGGAACUGCCUUUGAAACUGAGAAGCUAGAGUGUUGGAGGGGAUGGCGGAAUUGCUAAUGUAGAGGUGAAAUUCGUAGAUAUUAGCAGGAACACCGGUGGCGAAGGCGGCCAUCUGGACAACAACUGACGCUGAGGCGCGAAAGCGUGGGGAUCAAACAGG